rnacentral:rRNA from 1 species
UACAGAGGGUGCUAGCGUUGUUCGGAAUCAUUGGGCGUAAAGGGCGUGUAGGCGGUUUGUUAAGUCAUGUGUGAAAUCCCUCGGCUCAACCGGGGAACGACGCAUGAAACUGGCAAGCUAGAGUACCAAAGAGGGGGGUGGAAUUCCCGGUGUAGCGGUGAAAUGCGUAGAUAUCUGGAGGAACACCGGUGGCGAAGGCGGCAUCCUGGACCAACACUGACACUGAGGAGCGAAAGCCAGGGGAGCAAACGGG